GUUUGACCUCGGAUCAGGUAGGGAUACCCGCUGAACUUAAGCAUAUCAA
rnacentral:rRNA from 4 species